rnacentral:rRNA from 1 species
CGCAGCCGCGGUAAUUCCAGCUCCAAUAGCGUAUAUUAAAGUUGUUGCAGUUAAAAAGCUCGUAGUUGAAUUUCGGGGUCAGUAGGUUGGUCGUGCCACUGGUAUGUACUGGCUUCACUGAUUCCUCCUCUUGUAGAACCGUAAUGCCAUUAAUUUGGUGUUGCGGGGAAACAGGACUGUUACUUUGAAAAAAUUAGAGUGUUUAAAGCAGGCUAACGCUUGAAUACAUUAGCAUGGAAUAAUGAAAUAGGACGUUUGAUCCUAUUUUGUUGGUUUCUAGGAUUGACGUAAUGAUUAAUAGGGAUAGUUGGGGGCAUUAGUAUUCAAUUGUCAGAGGUGAAAUUCUUGGAUUUAUUGAAGACUAACUACUGCGAAAGCAUUUGCCAAGGAUGUUUUCAUUAAUCAAGAACGAAAGUUAGGGGAUCGAAGACGAUCAGAUACCGUCGUAGUCUUAACCAUAAACUAUGCCGACUAGGGAUCGGAUGAUGUUAAUUUUUAAUGACUCAUUCGGCGCCUUACG